CCAGACUCCUACGGGAGGCAGCAGUGGGGAAUAUUGCACAAUGGGGGAAACCCUGAUGCAGCGACGCCGCGUGAGUGAAGAAGUAUCUCGGUACGUAAAGCUCUAUCAGCAGGGAAGAAAAUGACGGUACCUGACCAAGAAGCCCCGGCUAACUACGUGCCAGUAGCCGCGGUAAUACGUAGGGGGCAAGCGUUAUCCGGAUUUACUGGGUGUAAAGGGAGCGUAGACGGCGAUGCAAGCCAGAUGUGAAAGCCCGGGGCGCAACCCCGGGACGGCAUUUGGAACUGUGUGGCCGGAGUGUCGGAGAGGCAGGCGGAAUUCCUAGGGUAGCGGUGAAAUGCGUAGAUAUUAGGAGGAACACCAGUGGCGAAGGCGGCCUGCUGGGCGAUGACU
rnacentral:rRNA from 1 species